GGCCCCAUAGUUCAAUGGAUAGAACAAAUCCGUCCUAAGGAUAAGAUGUGCGUUCGAUUCGUGCUGGGGCCACUA
rnacentral:tRNA from 1 species